ensembl:lncRNA
UUAGAUUCUGUAAUUUUAUUGCUGACAUCAUCUUGAACAGCAAAAGAUACAGAGAACUUAACAAUGUUUGGAAAAGCACAAAGAGUUACUGGGAAUGUAAGGAGGCAGUUUCUUGCUUUUUUAUCUCAGAUUAAUAACAGUCAAAGGUGCCUGGUUUCUUCCUGUAAAGGUUUUUCUUUUUUUUUUUUUUUUUCACCUUUUUCUCCACAAGUAGGAAUUUAUGGAAAUCAUCUCAUGGAUAUACUUUAUUACUCCAGUUUUACACCAAUUUGAGGGGGGAAAGACAUGCUUUUUGACACCAGUUGUGACAAAAUGCAUUCAUUUAGGGAAAAAACAGUGGUAUAGUGAGUUAAAGAUCCUUAUAUUUUAACCCAAUAUUAAAAAUUAAAUAGUGGGACUUCCCUUGGUGGUCCAGUAGACAGGACUUCGCCUUCCAAUACAAGGGUUGAGGGUUUGAUCACUGGACAGGUAGCUAAGACCCCAUAAGCCUCUUGGCCACAAAACCAAAACAUAAAGCAGAACCAAUUGUGACAAAAUCAAUAAAGACUUUAAAAAUGGUUCACAUUCAAAAAAAAAAAAAAAAAUCAAGACAGCUAGAAUUUUCUAUACCAAGAAUUUACCUCCAUUCUUGGGGGCUUCUUCACUCAGUGAAAAAUCUAUCUUAGAAAUCACGGAUUUGAAAAACCAAAAACAAAACCCAACCUAUUUGGUUAUGUGGAUGCAAUUUAUGCCUUUUCUGUUUAUAGAGAAAGCCAGACCUUGCCAAAGGAAACUUUUCUUUUUCAGAUUUUAUGUUUCUGCAUUCCUCCUGUCUUGUCUUUUGUAUCCCUCUUUAAGCCAUCACUUCAUAACUGUCAUGAGAAAAAUCACUCACUCAUUUUCUCUGAUUUUACAUCUUCAUAGAAUUUUUUUUUUAGAUGGACCACAGCCAUCUUAGAGGAAAACUCCAUUUUCUGGUGGGGGCUGCAAAGGGUAGAAUCUGAAUGUCCAGUGCGCUGUUGGUCACCCAGCACAAGGAGGGACUCGUGUUACCUACAAAGGUAUUAGGAAAGUGCUCCCAGCUGAAAGUAUUUAUCCAAUUCCAAUUGUUUGGAAGUCUAAAAUACGAAAGGGUAGUACUGUUCCAGGAGCUACUGUUUAAAACAAUGCAAUGCCUGUUUAGAGGCAAAAAGUCAGUACUUGAAAGUCUGAGUUGGUUUAAAAAAUAAUAACUAUGCAUCCAAAAAAGAAUUCUUAAAGAAACAUUUAUAUGCCAGGCACAUGUUUUUUAUUUUAAUAACAUUAGCUAAACCAAAUAAAUAUGUAGAGUCUAAUAAUUAUUUAUAUUUUUAUAUUAUUCUAUUUUAGUGAGUUUGCAAAGAAGCUAAUGAAUAACAAUGAAAGAAAAACAUGUAUCUGUCAGGACAAAGUUGCUUGUGGUUUGUAGGCAAUGCAAAAUGUUGUGUUGAAAAAAUGCUGUGUUAAAAAGUCAUUGAAAACUGCUCUGAUUAAGAAAGAAGUGAACGCAUAUCCCCAUAGGAUAAUGGCAGAUAAAAAAGUAAUUGUGUUCCCUGUACAAUUAUGUUCGCUGGCAUUUAUGUAAGUAUAAUAAUGCUCUCAGGGUAUUUUCAUAGUUGUUCACUUAAUGUGGGAUUAACAUCAAAAUCUUUAUAAUUAUCUGAGAUCACGAAUUUGAAAGUGGAGUGGUAAAACAUGUUAAUGGUUAAAAGACGCUAGCAGUUUUAAUACCAAACAGAUUAACACACAUGAAAGUAAUAUAAUUUGUGCACUGAAUAAUAUGUCAGACCAAUUCUUCUGGUGAAGGAAGAAUUCUUAUGAAAUGGUACCCUUUCUAGCUAAUGCUUUGUGUUUCUUCUAGAAAUACUAAAGCAAUCUCAGAUAGAAAAUUGCAUGAGAUAUGCAUGUGGGUGUGCAUAACUCAUGGACUUGAAACAUUAUUCUGUGACUUUGCAUCACACAAUUUCAUGAAACCUUCAUUUCUGAAGUUUCCUUUCAAUAAAGUCGAAAACCAAAACAUGACUAUAGGAAAUUAAUUUUGAAGAAGGAAGGUAUGGUUAUAAACAACAACAACAAAAAAAUAGAGCAUAAAAGAGAUUAAUUGGCAAGAACAGCUAUGAAUUUCUUUUAUAACCACUCGCAAAUAAAUGUAGAGUCUUAUGCAUUUUUAAAUAAUACAGAAGCAUAUUUUAACAUGUACCUCAGAGUUUUAUAAAACUAUUUCUCAGCCUCAACUUUCUCACCUGGACAGGGGUAGGAAAAGGGUAGUCAUUUAGAAAGUAGUAUGAAGCUACGGAUUAAUUGCCUGGCAUGCCCAUCUUUCUAGAAUCUCGGUGAAAAUGGACCUCACAACCCUAAUUAUAUUAUAAUCCCUGUUGCACUCAGCUACACGGGUUAGGAUGGGAUGUGAAACCUUGGAAACUAUACUGAACGUGACAAACCCAGGUACCUCCCCCCCAACACGGAGAAUGUGUAUUAAAAGCCGGUAUCUGUGUAACUUCAGCUGCGCCUGAAUUGGGGGCAGUAGGGCGGGGGCGGGGGGGGGGGGUGGUGUCCAGGAGUUAAAUCAUGUGGUUUCCACUUAUGCAGAGAGAAUCCAUAAAAAAGAGAUUUAUUAUCAUAUUUUCCUUUGGAAAUGUAGUAUUUGUUUUUGACUUUAAAAGUGCUCCUCGGUAUAAAACAGGGGUAAAUAUUACAAUUUUAUGAAACAGCAGCCAAGAUUUAAUUGUCUGUGAAAUAUCAGGCUUAGGACCUGAUUCGAGUUAACUACUGUUCUGCUGAGACCAGCUCGCUGGCCCGCUGUGGCCCAAGGCGCAGGUUGAAGAAGGGGUGGGCGGCCCCACGCCCCCGGGAGCACCGCCAAAGGCCUCGGAGCCUCAUCCUCCUGCAGCCGAGCUAAAGUGACUUUGCGCACAAAAUCAAACCAGAAUAAGUGGCCAAGGAAAACGGGACCGAGUAGGCUAGCGAGAGCGAGAGAGAGAGAGAGAGAGAGAGAGUUAAAUCCGGUAACCGCCUAGAAGUGCAGGAGGAAAACUGGAUGGGAUGCAAAAAAGUGGAGCGGAAGAGGGGAGAAAGGAAGCUGGGCAAGUGGAGACACUGGAAUCCACGUGUGCACUGUCCGGCGCGUUAACACCGCGUGCGCCCCAGCCGCUCCACCGGGAAGGAAAAGCCCCAGAGCUCGGCCCUGCAGCCCCGGCCCCCUCCCCGCAUUCUCCUCGCCCCGCGCCGGCUCCGCGGGUCCUUCCUCCGCCGCCCGGUGCCGAGAGAAAGCGGGCGGCGGCCGAUUUGCCCCGGUGGCACCGUAGCCAAAAGCCUGUCCGUAAUUGCAAAGCAAACAAGGCUGAAAUAUUGGGUCGGUCUCAAUCGUGACAAGAUCUACGCUUUUGCCGCCAAUUUGUUUGUGCAGCUCUAUUUAAAGGCCCUUGAUUGAGGAAAUGUUGAAAAUAGCGCGGAGGGUUCCCUAAUGAGACUUCGGGAAGAAAGAGCUGGGGCGGGAGGGCGCGGGCGGGGGAGGGGGAGGGGCGCCUUUAACCCCUUCCUACCCGCUUCAGGCAAAAGCCCUGGAGCCCAGAGAGGGUAGGAGGGGGAGCAGGGAUCCGUCCGGUCCCGCCCCGCGCGGCGAGCUCCCCGGCGGCCGCGGCCUGAACUCCGCCCGCGCCCGCAUCUCCCUCCUCCCCUCGGCCCCGAGGCCCCGCGGCGCCCUCCGACAAAACCCCCGACUGGGGGUCCCAGGCGGCUGAAAGGGAAGGCUAGACACUCAAGAGGCGGGAAGAGAAAACACACACACACAUUUAUUGUGCGUAGAAAAAGCCCGUGUGUUCAGCGUCCAGCCCCGUGCGCGCCUUGGUCUCAUUCAACUCCGAGCGCAUCCUCGCAGCCAGCUUCAAUACCCCAUUGCUCAGAUGCGGACACCAAGGCUUAGAGAAAACCAGUCCUUUGGGAGCCUGUGCCCGCCCAGCGGGCUCUGGCUUGGCAGCUCAGGAGGUGGAGGGCCCAGGGGAGGCCAGGCCAGGCUGGUCCCCCUCUUCUCCAUCCCACGCCGGCGUCCCGGAGCCCUUGGAUGCGCGGUCCAUCCAAGCAGCUUUCUCCCCGCUUCUCCCAAGGACUUGGUGAUGAGGUCGGUUCCCUGCGAGACGAUGUCCGCCUCCGGCACUAGCUCUGAGAUGUACCUUGGCGCAUCGGAAGUUUGUCUUUCUGGAGUCCCAGGCAGAGGUGGACUGGGAAAAUGGAGACCCUCGAGGGGCAGGGAGAACUGGUUUCGGUGGUACUUCUCCCAGAAUGAUGUGCGCUUUCUGUCAGCAAAACAAAAAAGCAUCAGUCACAGGCGUCCAGUGGAGCUGCUCAGUGUUUUCUGAAUGGAAUUCUGCUUUUUCUGCAUGCAACCAAUUCCUUCGUUUGAAGUUGGAUGUUUUGCAAAGCAGAAUGCAAUUCCAUUUUUUC